rnacentral:rRNA from 1 species
AAAAUAUAUGCUUCACUUAUAGAUUAAGCCAUGCAAUUGAGACCAAACAGGGUUACGUACUUCGUGGAUUCUGACUUUGGUCCAUUAACAGCUGCAUAAAAGUAAAUUAACUUAAUCAUAUGUAUUAUUUUGUGGAUAAGAGCUAGUAAAUCCCACUAUAAUCCAUAAAAUUGUUUCCUUUUUAAGGAAGUAAUUACCAGCCAAUCCCUUGGAAAAGAUUGGUUAUAAUUUAAUUAAUUUUUAUUAAGUACUUGUAUUUUUUAAAAAUUAUAUUAAACGGUUAGUUUUCAUUAGAAAACGCGUAUGAUAAGGGUUUGCUUUUUUUAGUUUGAUAGAGGGUUAAUUGCCCCCUAUGGCUAUAAUGAAUACAGAGGAUUAUGCGUUUUAAACUGCAGAAGUCGCUUGAAAAACGGCGAUUAGAAUUAAGGUUUGCAGCAGGCGCGAAACUUUCCCAAUAAUCACUGAUUGAGGAAGUAAUAAUUGUGAAUGACAUUUCAACAAAGAAAUGGUGGACCUCUACAAAACAAUUUUGUUUUGUUGAGAUUUGAGAUAUAGCUUUAGGUCUAUCGUAUCACGGGCUUUAAAAAUUUUAAACAAAGCCUGGGCGAGUUUUAAGGAUCUUUCCUAUGUCUCAUUAUUCCUUAUUUUGUGGGUUAUUUGGAGUUAUUCUUCACGGAAUGAUUCUGGGUAAUUAAUGAUAGAGUUAAUAACUGAUCGAAUUAAAGUGAGGGCAAGUCUGGUGCCAGCAGCCGCGGUAAUACCAGCUCACUAAGUAUUUUUUAUCAUUGUUGUGGUUAAAAUGUUUCUAGCUAUGGUUAAAUUAGUUCUUUUAAUUGGUUGGAUCAAGUUGGUUUCACAUGGUUGUCAUUUUCAUGUAAUCACACCAUCCUUUUAUUUGAAUAUAUUAAUUGAGUGGUAAUCAAAUCUAAACGCUAACAGUAAUUUCUGGAUUUAUUAAUGCAUAUUUAAUCAAAAAGAUCUUCAAAUUUAAAAAGCUUUUUGAUUAGGUAAUAAAUGUCCUAAUAAGUCAGUCUUGAUAAAUGUUAUAUUACCACAUUCGAUAUUUAUUGGAAUUUUUUUCUAUUUGAGGAGGAUUGAAAUUUCAAUAUAGAUGGAAAACAAGUUGAUUUCAAUGGUAUGAUUAUAGUAAUAGUGAAAUGUUUCGAUUAUAAUUGGACGGACGGAAGCGAAAGCGAUUGAAAAUAACUUUUUCGUCGGCCAAGAACGUGUGCUAGGGGAUCAAAAUCGAUUAGAGACCGAUGUAGUCCUAGCUGUAAAUGGUGCCUUCCAAAGGAUAUUUUUAAAAGGAUGUUUGUCCAUAGUUAAUACAGAUCUUCAUUGAAGGCUGUAUUAGUUUGCAUAUUUUUUAUUUUUUAAGAUUUAUGCAAAGACAAACGAAAAACUUUUUUUAUCUAUUCUUUUUUGCUUAGCAAAAGAGGAUAUGAAACCUUUAUACCAUAUCGGUUAAUAGUAUUCUUUAUAGGAUGCUUUUAAGAAGGUUCUAGGGGGAGUACGUGCGCAAGCAUGAAACUUAAAGGAAUUGACGGAAAGACAUUACAAGAAGUGGAGUCUGCGGCUUAAUUUGACUCAACGCUGGAAAAUUUACCAGGUCAAAACUUCUAAACUGAUUGUCAGAUGGAAUUUAGUUCUUACAUGAUUUGGAAGGGAUAGAGUGGUGCAUGGCCAUUUUCAGUUCGUAUAGUGAUAAGUCUCGUUAAUUCAGUAAAACGAGCGCGAUCUUAGUUGCAUAGAAAGAUUUUUUGUGGGGAUUGGUUUUUUUUUCAUUUGAAAUUAAAAUUCAGUUCUUCUUAAAAUUUUUCCAUUACUCCUCAGGAGUAAGGAAUUGCAAGACAGUCGGUGUAAGGUAAAAACCUGUAAUCGAAAGGAAGGGUAAGGCGAGAAUAGGUCAGUGAUGCCCUUAGAUGAUCUGGGCUGCACGCGUACUACAAUUUUACUAAGAAAACAUAUAAAACUCUCGUUGAAAGACUGAGAGCAAUUAAAUAGUUUAUUUGGAUCGAAGUAUUGUAAGUGUCUUCGUGAAAUAGGAAUUUCAUGUAAAUGUGAGUCAUCAUCUCACAUUGAAAGCGUUCCUGUUUUUUGUACACACCGCCCGUCGCUUGAAUCGGCGUUAAAAUCAUUUUAGCAAGAUUUUUAAGGAAGUUGUUUCGGCAAUAUUCCUGAUAAAAUUGAGUGAUAGUGAUUUAACCAAGAAUCAAGAAGUCGUAACAAGGCAUUU